ACUGAUGCCAGCAGGAUAAAUUGGUCAAGGAGAGAGACUGCAGUAAACUCUAGAUGGGAGAGGGCAGAACUUCGGCUGCCAGAAAAUUCUGAGGGAGGGACAGCUGAGGAGGGGGCAGCAGGACUCACCUUUGUGGCCCCCAUGCCCAACUCUUGGGUGAGGGGAUGCCUGGGGAGCCUCCAGGCCUGGGGUCUCCUCCCCUGGUGGUCUUGGCUACAGGCAUGAGCCCAUCUCUCACCAGUCCUGCCCACCCCCUCGACACUCCUCACCUCUUUCAGGUUGAACCUCAUGUGAUGACAGAGGAUGUGGAAGGGGGGCUGGGUGCCUCCACCCUGAGGGCGGUAGCCUUUGACCCGAGAGGCCUGGAAAAGCUUUGGGUAGCCGAACUGGUAGCGGGCGGGGAGGGCGAAGCGCAGCCCGUGUCGGUCCCCGUAGCGGUGAAGUAGACUCAGCACAGAGCUGCUCCCGGAUUUAUGCGUCUUCAGGAACACGAGUCGCUGCCGUGGCAGGCAGGAUGGAACAGCUGGUCUUGGGGUUGAGGCCCAGGACUGUCGGAGCUGCAGCCCAGGUAGCCUGGGGAGAGACGGGAGGGGAAGUGUCCUGUCCCUCACCAGCAGGUGGAUGGGUGUCUUGUGGAGCAAGGACGAGGGCGUGGAGCGUCCUCUGAGUCCCCAAGAGUCACAGCCCCAGGUGGGAUGGGGAGGAGCAAGUGGGGGGGGGCAUCUGUGGGGCGUUGGGACAAGAUGAGAACUCACCUCCUCUGGAAGGGACCCCCCCAGAGCUGGAGGGCAAAUCCGAUGGUCAUGAAGACUCCCAGAGCCACUCCCAGGCUCCGAGGCCCCCAGAGGCGCAUGGUCCUGGUAGGAGACAGAGGGCCCAUGUGGCACAGGGAAGGGUGACACUAGAGAGGGACAGGGCAAGGGCCAGGCACAGAGGCAGAGACAGCUUGAGACAGCCGUGCAGCCGCGGAAGGCGCCGGUUCGAGUUCGGGGGUUCAUUCCCCAGGUCUGCUCGCAGCCCCGGUUGAGUCUGCCCCCUGAGUUAGCAGAUUUUUGCCUCUGUCAGCGUCUAGAAGGGAAACGAGGGGGAAGGAGGAGAGUCUAAGGAAGGGGUAGAGCCUUCUCUCCUGCUGCUGCUGCUGCAGCUGAGACCUCAUCCCGGGCAGGGGGGCAGCAGAGGGGGGAGCCCUCUCUACACCCAGAUCUUCUAGGUGCCCCACGACUGCUUCUCUGCUGUCAGCCUGCAGCUCCCUCCAACCCCCACUGACAGUUCCUCACUGAGCCCCAGGGAUUUGGAAGGGAGGGGGAGAAGGAUCAGACCAGUCCGCUCAGACCAGUGAAACGGACAUCACCAGGCCCCUGACCACCUCCUCUGCCCCUCUGUCUGUGACCAGUCGGGCUGAAGAGCCCCAUUCUGAGGCUGAGAGGAGAAGCCAUAAGGAGGGAAUGAGGGCCAGACAAGGCACCAGCUUAGGAACCCAGGGAGGUGAAACCACAGGAGCAACUUUGUAAAGAAUAAGAGUCGGCCAGCUCAUCUAAGCUCAGCUUUCUGCAGAACAAAAGACUCAUUCAGGCGACCAAAGGAAAGAAGGAAAGAAGAAAGGAGAAUAACAGACAAGAGUUGAAAGCAGGCAUUGUCAAGGACAUGACAAGGUGAAUGUGCUCAGACCCAGAGGGUGGACAGCUUGCCCAAACUCAAUCCCAGGGGACAGGUUCCAAGAUAAGCAGGCAGAAAUGAACUGCUGGUCACAGAGGCUCUGGGCUAAAGGUACAGAAAGUCACACAUAGGGUCCAAUAAAUUAGCCAUUUAUUUAUAGAAUAAACAUCGAGUCGAACACUGAAACAUGAAAUGGGGAAGCUUGUGAAGGAUGUGGCGGAUGGCAGAGGCCAUGAGAUAUGCUUUUUUUUUCUUCUUUCUUUUUUCUAGUUUAAGAAAGUGAUACUGAAAAAACUCGAUAGAACCCAGACCCAUAGAUCCUGACAUCCUAGUCCCCUGUCCUGCACCCCACAAGCACCCAGCUUUGUCUGUUUCUGAGACCGGGUGCCCC